UAUCCCCUACGGGGCGCAGCAGUGGGGAAUAUUGCACAAUGGGGGGAACCCUGAUGCAGCGACGCCGCGUGGGUGAGGAAGUACUUCGGUAUGUAAAGCCCUAUCAGCAGGGAAGAAAAUGACGGUACCUGACUAAGAAGCCCCGGCUAACUACGUGCCAGCAGCCGCGGUAAUACGUAGGGGGGAAGCGUUAUCCGGAUUUACUGGGUGUAAAGGGAGCGUAGACGGCG
rnacentral:rRNA from 1 species